AGAAACUUAGGAUAACCUUAAACCGAGGGCCUUCAAAGCCCUAAACAGGGAAUUAACCCCCCUAGUUUCUG
rnacentral:tRNA from 1 species